CAACCAUCCUUUUCUUGGGGUUGCGCUACUGUCCAAUGAACGUGUAGUGAGGGCAGUACUGCUAACGCCUGACAACACACCUGCAUCGGUUAGAGCUCUGCUUUACCUUGGUGCAAUUUUUGGAAAAACCACAAAACCUCUCUUCCUUGCCCAAACAUUUAAAGAUAAGAAUUGCCGCGUGUAUAAUGUUGCCCUCCUCGCAGUUCCUUUACUGUUUGCAAGAGGGCAGCUGGACAGUAAUUACUGCAAGAUCAGCUUUCUCACCGCUGACCUGAGACUGUGAUAUGUUGCAAUACAGAUAAAGGGUUCCGUAUUUGAGUUUUCAUCCAGCUAACAAGUAAAUCUAUUUACUAGUUAAAACACCAAACCAGCCCUGGGAGGGGUUAGAUACUUGGAAGUGUAUAAUUCUUUUGAUGUACAGAGUCUAUGUAGCCCUUAGCAUGUAGCCCCUGCUGGCCUCAAAUUUGUAGCUCCCAACUGCUAAAAUUAAAGGCAUGUGCCACUUCCCGGGGCUCUUUUUUCUCCCAACUUUUAAAAUAGUCCUAUUUAUGAGCAUUUUCUUUAAAACAA
rnacentral:lncRNA from 1 species